AGUGAACGCUGGCGGCGUGCCUAAUACAUGCAAGUCGAACGGAGUGGCUCACGGGUGAGUAAUGUAUAGCUAAUCUGCCCUACACUAGAGGAAAACAGUUGGAAACGACUGCUAAUACUCUAUAUUGUGAGAGAAGGAUAUAUUGUAUCAGCUAGGUGGUGAGGUAAUGGCUCACCAAGGCUAUGACGCAUAACUGGUCUGAGAGGAUGAUCAGUCACACUGUAACUGAGACACGGUCCAGACUUCUACGGGAGGCAGCAGUAGGGAAGAGUGCUCAAUGGGGGAAACCCUGAAGCAGCAACGCCGCGUGGAGGAUGACACUUUUCGGAGCGUAAACUCCUUUUGUUACGGAAGCGGUACCUAAAGAAUAAGCACCGGCUAACUCCGUGCCAGCAGCCGCGGUAAUAC
rnacentral:rRNA from 1 species